rnacentral:rRNA from 1 species
GGGUGCGAUCAUACCAGCACUAAUGCACCGGAUCCCAUCAGAACUCCGCAGUUAAGCGUGUUUGGGCGAGAGUAGUACUAGGAUGGGUGACUUCCCGGGAAGUACUCGUGUUGCACCCC